rnacentral:tRNA from 1 species
GAGGAGGUGGCUGAGUGGUUAAAAGCGGCAAUUUGCUAUGUUAUAUUAAAAAGAGUUUUAAUUAAUAUCGUAGGUUCGAAUCCUAUUCUUCUUA